rnacentral:rRNA from 1 species
AGCGAACGCUGGCGGCAGGCCUAACACAUGCAAGUCGAACGAACCUUUCGGGGUUAGUGGCGGACGGGUGAGUAACACGUGGGAACGUGCCUUUAGGUUCGGAAUAACUCAGGGAAACUUGUGCUAAUACCGAAUGUGCCCUUCGGGGGAAAGAUUUAUCGCAUUUAGAGCGGCCCGCGUCUGAUUAGCUAGUUGGUUGAGGUAAUGGCUCACCAAGGCGACGAUCAGUAGCUGGUCUGAGAGGAUGAUCAGCCACAUUGGGACUGAGACACGGCCCAAACUCCUACGGGAGGCAGCAGUGGGGAAUCUUGCGCAAUGGGCUAAAGCCUGACGCAGCCAUGCCGCGUGAAUGAUGAAGGUCUUAGGAUUGUAAAAUUCUUUCACCGGGGACGAUAAUGACGGUACCCGGAGAAGAAGCCCCGGCUAACUUCGUG